AAGAUAAUAAAGCCACAGACGUAAAACUGGUGGACUGGCAGACUCCUUCCUACCGGACACCGACCUUUGAUCUGGUUGUCCUCUUCAUGUACCAAAGUUGGGACAUUUUCCACAACCAACGAGACGUCAUCUUGGAACAUUAUCACAAAGAACUUCAGAAGACAUUGGGAGAAAAGAAAUCUGCAGGUCUACAGCUGUACACACUGGAUCAGCUGAAAGCAGACUUCCGUGCUGACUGUGCGAUCGGGGUGUUUGAAAGGGUGAACACUGCUUCGGGGCUUCUCCCCAGUCAACAACCUGAACUACUGAAGAUUGUACAGGAAGUCAAGAACUGGGGCGUGAUAUAGCUGUUUGUGUCUUUCCUUCAGCUGUGCUUAUACGUACGCCUUAUGUAUCCUGAUACUAACAUUGUUACCAAUCGUGAAAACUGUUAAGUACCAUGAGAUCGAUCCUAGACAGAUACAGAUAGCAUUAGUCUGUUCUGACUGUACCCGUAGGUGCGAUUGUGAAAGCAGACAGCUGACACACCACAAACAGUAUUUCCUUUACCAUGUUUACCUUUCUUAUUUUUCUAUUACCUUUCAAUCACACCUUUUCAAUUCAUUGUUAAAAUCCAAAAUUGACUUAGAGCCGAUAUUGAUUGCCACCUUGCUUUUCUAUAUUUGUCAUAUGCAAA